rnacentral:lncRNA from 1 species
ACGUUGGGAACGACGGAGCGCAACGCGUAGAACCGGUGGUUCAGCUUCUCCCUCCUCUGUCUCUCCGCUUCCACGUGGUUCAAUGCCGCCAUAUGAGCAUCCUCCUCGCCGCCUUUAGGCUUUCUCCCUCUUUUUUUGGCUACAACAGGGGGGACAACAGAGGAACAGAGACUUCACCUGUUGAACUAAGCUCAAAUUCUGUUUGAUUAAUUGAGUGGAGCCUAAUUCAAACACGCCAUUUGAAGUUGGAAUACUAACCAGAGUCUGAAUCCCAUGGAUCUGAGCUUCUUUAGCCCUU